CCACAUUCAUGCCCUUAGGACUGGCUCAUCCACAGCUCCCACGUCCAGGGCCAGCUCUACUGUGUUGCCCAGGUGAGAUACAGGUACAGCAGGUGAGGGGCAGAACCACAUCUCCUGCUCUGAUGACCUCUGAGCCAGCUCUCCUGCCUGCCAUAGGUGGUGAGGGGCACUGUGUGUGUGUGUGUUGUGGGGGUCAUCUCUCCUGUUGCAGGAUACUUGAUCAUAGUGUGAACUCCAAGAUUGUAUUAUUUACUGAAAAUACCUGUUUCAAGUUGUGGUGUGGCUCAGCCUUUAGCACACACCUUUAAUCCCAAACAAGGAAGAUAAAUUAGGUUUGUAGAAGGAAGCACCCAUGUUUGAAAGUGAUGUCUAACUGAGUGGCAGGCAAAGUGACAAAUCGGAGAAUGAUAUGACAGAAUAGGAUCUGCCCAGCUCUCCUUGGCCUGGGGUGGGGGAAAGGGAAGCUACUUAAGGGGCAGUGGAUAGAGACAGAGAGAGCGUGAGAAUGCGAGAGCGCAGUUUUACUGGGAUAGUUGUAGAGAGACUGGUUGACGAGAGAACAAACCUGACAUGAGUGAAAACAGAAUGAGUCAGAGAAUGAGAAGGUGUCUGAAGAUUAGAACAGAUUGCCAAAGUUAGUAUGAGGCCAAACAGCAAUUCAGUAAGAAGCUGAGGGAAGUCGGAUUGAACGCAUCUUGGGGAAGAGUUUGAGUCUCAACAGCUAAGUGGAACCCAGCCAGCCAGAGUUCAGAAAGAGCAAGAGAAGGUCAGCUUAUUCAGCAGUUUAAAACUCAGAGGCUGAAAACACUGUAAGCCUAGAUAAGACUGUGUGGAGGCUAGAAGCUUCUAGAACUAGGCCCAGGUUACCAGAUGAAAGCAGUAAGUCUCAGAGACCACAUUUAUGUCAAGUGAAUAGAAAUUAAAUGUAUACUCUCCCUCGCCCAGGUCACCUCACAGCACACAAGUUUCUAGUCCAGCCCUUUAAUGCUCACACACUUGGAUCUGGCUUGACUGUGUUCCAACCACCAGGAUCAGCUCUAUUGUACUGCCCAAGCAAGGUCCAGAGCCUACUCUCCUGAGUGCUGAAGCAGGGUCUCGUGAGUGAGUGUCUGGGGACAUCUCCAGAGUGGUCUCAGGAAUACUAUGCUUCGAUGGGCUAUCAACACUGCAAAACUAAAAAGUACCAACACAAUGAAAAGAAAAAUGCACAGUGAAACAAGAAAUGGUGGACCUUCUAAUAUCCAGUGUGAUGGUUUGUGUAUGCUUGACACAGGGAGUGACACUAUUAGAAGGUAUGGCCCUGUUGGAGUCGGUGUGUCAUUGUGGGCAAGGGCUUUAAGACCCUCAUCCUAACUUCCUGGAAGCCAGUAUUCUGCUAGCAGCCUUCAGAUGAAGAUGUAGAACUCUCAGCUCCUACACCUUGCCUGCCUGGAUUUUGCCAUGUUCCCACCUUGAUAAUGGACUGAACCUGUAAGCCAGCCCCAAUUAAAUGUUGUCCUUAUAAGAGUUGGCUUGGUCAUGGUGUCUGUUCACAGCAGUUAAUCCUUAAGACACCCAGGCAUAAAUCAUGACUAUAACACGGAGGCAGAAGGCCAACAAAAAAGAAAGUGCAAGCUUUGAACAACACCCUAAGCCCCAUUAGCAUAGACCAUGGAGCAUCAAACAAUCUCUCAAAAUGUAAGAGUAAAGCAGAAAAGGUACUUUCUAAACACAGUAGAAGUUAGAAAUCAGUAAUAAAGCUUUGAAAUUCACAAAUAUGAGCCAGGUGGUGGGAGCGGUGCACGACUUUAAUCCCAGCACUCAGGAGGCAGAAGCAGAUCUCUGUGAGUUCAAGGCCAGCCUA
rnacentral:lncRNA from 1 species